rnacentral:rRNA from 1 species
GACGAACGCUGGCGGCGUGCCUAACACAUGCAAGUCGAACGGAGCUAUUGACUUCGGUUGAUAGCUUAGUGGCGAACGGGUGAGUAACGCGUGAGCAACCUGUCUUUCAGAGGGGGAUAACAACGAGAAAUCGUUGCUAAUACCGCAUAAGACCAUACUGUCGCAUGGCAGAGGGGUAAAAGGAGCAAUCCGCUGAUUGAGGGGCUCGCGUCCCAUUAGAUAGUAGGUGAGGUAACGGCUCACCUAGUCUGCGAUGGGUAGCCGAGCUGAGAGGCUGAACGGCCACACUGGGACUGAGACACGGCCCAGACUCCUACGGGAGGCAGCAGUGAGGAAUUUUGCGCAAUGGGGGAAACCCUGACGCAGCGACGCCGCGUGGAGGAUGAAGGCCUUCGGGUCGUAACUCCUGUCAGAGGUGAGAAUGCCCGCAGGGUUUGACGGUAACCUCAGAGGAAGCCCCGGCUAACUACGUGCCAGCAGCCGCGGUAAACG